rnacentral:tRNA from 1 species
GUCCAGGGUAGCCUAGUGGUCAUGGCAUCUGCCCAGAAAGCGGAAAGUCGUGGGUUCGAUUCCCAUCCCUUGACA